rnacentral:rRNA from 1 species
AUUGAACGCUGGCGGAAUGCUUUACACAAGCAAGUCGAACGGCAGCACGGACUUCGGUCUGGUGGCGAGUGGCGAACGGGUGAGUAAUGUAUCGGAACGUGCCCAGUCAUGGGGGAUAACGUAGUGAGAAUUACGCUAAUACCGCAUACGAUCUAGGGAUGAAAGCGGGGGAUUGCAAGAUCUCGCGCGAUUGGAGCGGCCGAUAUCAGAUUAGGGAGUUGGUGGGGUAAAGGCCCACCAAGCCAACGAUCUGUAGCUGGUCUGAGAGGACGACCAGCCACACUGGAACUGAGACACGGUCCAGACUCCUACGGGAGGCAGCAGUGGGGAAUUUUGGACAAUGGGCGAAAGCCUGAUCCAGCCAUUCCGCGUGCAGGAUGAAGGCCCUCGGGUUGUAAACUGCUUUUGUACAGAGCGAAAAGGUUUCUACUAAUACUAGGAGCUCAUGACGGUACUGUAAGAAUAAGCACCGGCUAACUACGUGCCAGCCGCCGCUGUAA